ensembl:lncRNA
AAACAUUUAAGUCACCAAAUGUUCUCCUGAGAAUUGAAGUGCUUUGGACUAAAUUGUAUCUUGUGAGAUAAGACUGUUUUACAGUCCCGUGCUUUGUGUUUUUUCUUCAAGGCCUUGGAUCUGUUUUUUCUUAAUCAUGAAAUGACUAUUCUCGGCAUUCCCUAAAGUCUGUCAGAUUCUGAUUGUCUCCUUUUCCCUUUGGCUACUUGUGCAGAACCCAAAUAGCAGCCUGCUUGCUAACAACCGGUCAAGAGUGUGCGUAAUAACUUGGAGGGGUUUCUCUCUUUUUUUUUUUUUUUUACUUUUUUUUUAUUUUCGGUUAAGAAAAUAGAAGCCAAUAGUUGCAGCCUAUUCUCAGUGAUACUGGUGGGACAUGAACAGACUAGCUAAGGACCAGAAUAUCAGAUUUUUGGUCCUUAGGUCUCUUUUCUACCUUAAUUAUGGUGCUAUUAUUUGUAACUGAAAUAAAUACAUUUAUUGGUUGGUUUAUUUUUCUGCUUGGUUUUAAAUCACUGGUUAUUUUCAUGUUUCUAAUUCAAAAGCUAACUAACUAGCAGAGUGUCAAAAUGUUUUUCCGAACAGCUUAAGCCAAUUGAAAAGUAUGUGUUGAAUUUCUUUAAUCGUUUCAUACUUUGAUCAAAAAAGCCAGAAAGCCAAUAAGGAGUUAAAAACUGCAAAUAUAAAAUAGGAAUAUCAUCAUGCCAAGAAGCUGGAAAAGGCAGAAGAAAAAUUUCAGCAGGAAGUGAAAGAGGAACUCUUAAUGUAUACCAGACAAGAUGCUUAAAACAAGGUAACAUCAAGGGAUCUCCAAGUCCCUGCUUUUUGAAGAAUUUUCACGUUGUGACUGUGAGCCAUGUAUGUCUGUUGGGUUCACACUGCACUGGUCUCGUGCCCUUACACAGUUACUGUGCUCUCGAAGCUGGCACUCUGUGGACAGUUCUAAUUCUGUAGAGUAGCAGGUUGCAGUGUUGGCAGAACUGUGGGUUGGUAGGUUGACUUGGAAUGGAAAUGCACAGUCCUGUAUUAAGGUAACAAUAACUGAAGGAAGAGAUGGAGAAAAAUACUGAAAAUUAAACAUCAUUCCUUUUUUUUUUUUUUUUUUUUCCUAGUGUAAUUUUUGAAUUAUUGUUAUUUCAAACAAGCUCAGGUUUGUAAAUGCUAGGUUCUGGGCUGGAUGAUGUAUUGAGGUUAUCAAAAAUUCUUUGUUUCUCAUACAAGAAUUUGUCUGUGAUGGACCAGAUGGAGAAAUAGAAAUAACAGCUUUAAUUACUGGCAAACUAUGGCUUGUGGGGUUUGGUUUUUUUGUUGUUGUUGCUGAUUUCUCCUGUUGUACCUGAGACUCACAAUGAUGUCUACAAUGCUUCUGUGUAGAAAAGUGCUGCAAAUCAUUUAACUAAUGAUAAAUCUUUUGCAGUAAUCAGCUUUCUGUCAUGAUCUUUGUUGCACAAAGUUCCUUUCUCACUGGAGAUAACAACUUUGUCGUGCCAGUUAGCUUCAGGUGAGAGAAAGAAGCAUUGCCAUAGAAGGAUGGUUGUUCCUCCACCUUCACUUUUCGUCCAAGUGACUCCAAGAUUAUUGAAAGCAUGACAGAAGAGCAAAGCUCAGGAGACUCUCCUCUGGGUAAAACAGAAAAUGUAUUUUGCAAGAGCUUUGCCAGCUUUCAGCAAGUCAGCUGCUGACACUGGGCAGGAUAGUCUUGCAUGGCUAAUUGCUGAAGACUUGGCACUGUUAAAACUAAGAUAGUACUUCAUUUUUAUUGACUUCAGAAACUUUUUACUUGGAAGUUUAUUAGAGCAUCCAUAGACCUUGAUAAAUACGGGAUUAUACAUGCUUGUGCACACAAGAAAAGCAUUUAAGUGAAACCUUACACUGUUUUGAUUUCUCUCUGCCCCUAGGCGGUGAAACAGUUACAGACACUU